GAUGAACGCUAGCUACAGGCUUAACACAUGCAAGUCGAGGGGUAACGAGAGGAAAGCUUGCUUUCCUUGUCGACGACCGGCGCACGGGUGAGUAACGCGUAUCCAACCUGCCCCCAACUAGGGAAUAACCUUGCGAAAGUAAGACUAAUACCCUAUAAUUUCCUCAGAUGACAUCUGACGAGGAAUAAAGAUUUAUCGGUUGUGGAUGGGGAUGCGUCUGAUUAGCUUGGUGGCGGGGUAACGGCCCACCAAGGCAACGAUCAGUAGGGGUUCUGAGAGGAAGGUCCCCCACAUUGGAACUGAGACACGGUCCAAACUCCUACGGGAGGCAGCAGUGAGGAAUAUUGGUCAAUGGGCGGAAGCCUGAACCAGCCAAGUAGCGUGCAGGAUGACGGCCCUAUGGGUUGUAAACUGCUUUUAUACAGGAAUAAAGUUAGCCACGUGUGGCUAUUUGUAGGUACUGUAUGAAUAAGGACCGGCUAAUUCCGUGCCAGCCGCCGCGGUAA
rnacentral:rRNA from 1 species